GGGGACAUGGGGUAAUGGCAUCCUGACGGGCUCCAGACCCGUAGAUCUGGGUUCAACUCCCAGUGUCCCCA
rnacentral:tRNA from 4 species